rnacentral:rRNA from 1 species
AGUGAACGCUGGCGGUAGGCCUAACACAUGCAAGUCGAACGGCAGCACAGUAAGAGCUUGCUCUUACGGGUGGCGAGUGGCGGACGGGUGAGGAAUACAUCGGAAUCUACUUUUUCGUGGGGGAUAACGUAGGGAAACUUACGCUAAUACCGCAUACGACCUACGGGUGAAAGCAGGGGAUCCUCGGACCUUGCGCGAUUGAAUGAGCCGAUGUCGGAUUAGCUAGUUGGCGGGGUAAAGGCCCACCAAGGCGACGAUCCGUAGCUGGUCUGAGAGGAUGACCAGCCACACUGGAACUGAGACACGGUCCAGACUCCUACGGGAGGCAGCAGUGGGGAAUAUUGGACAAUGGGCGCAAGCCUGAUCCAGCCAUACCGCGUGGGUGAAGAAGGCCUUCGGGUUGUAAAGCCCUUUUGUUGGGAAAGAAAAGCAGCAGGUUAAUACCCCGCUGUUCUGACGGUACCCAAAGAAUAAGCACCGGCUAACUUCGUG